rnacentral:lncRNA from 1 species
UGCUGGUACUUUGACCUUGAACUUCCCAGCCUCCACGACUGUGAGAUUUUUCUGUUGUUUAUAAGCCACUCAGUUUAUGGUAUAUUGUCAUAGCAUACUGAACAUUCUAAGACAUUAUGUGAAUAAUUAUUAUGUGUAUUAAUUACUAUGCUAAAUUCUUUACAUAGUAUGAUGGACUGAAUUAUGUCCCCAGUAAAAUAUAUAUGUUGAAACCCUAGCCUCCAAUGUGACUGUUUUUGGAGAUAGGGACUUUAGGCAGGUAACUAAGAUUGAAUGAAGGGCUGGGUGCAGUGGCUCAUGCCUGUAAUCCCAUGCACUUUGGGAGGCUGAAGAGGGUGGAUCAUCUGAGGUCAGGAGUUCAAGACCAGCCUGGCCAACAUGGUGCAACCUCUACUAAAAAUACAAAAAUUAGCCGGCUGUGGUGGUGAGUGCCUGUAAUCCCAACUACUAGGGAGGCUGAGGCAGGAGAAUUGCUUGAACCUGGGAGACAGAGGUAGCAGUGAGCUGUGAUGUGCCACUGCACUCCACCCUGGGCGACAGAGCAAGACUUUGUCUCCAAAAAAAAAAAAAAAAAAAAAGAUUGAAUGAGGUCAUAGGGGUAGGGCCCUAAUCUGAUAAGGCUGGUGUCAUAGUAAGAGAAAAAGAGACUCCAGAGAUCUCUCUCUGUCUGUCCUUGCAUGAGCACAGAAGAAGAGCCACAUAAGGACACUGCAAGACAGAGGUCCUCUGUAAGCCAGUACAAGAGGCCCCACUAGAAACCAACCCUGAUGACACCUUGGUCUUAGACUUCUGCCUUCCAGAACUGUGAGAGUGUA